CCCUGCGGAACAAAGCGCAGAAGUGCCUGCAUCAUCUAAACAAUCUACAGUUUUUAAGAUAGAUGCAAAAACUGUUACAUUGGGGACAACUGAAAUUAAUCCAGAAACGAAUAUUAAAGAAUCUGUUACAUCGUCGACAGCCCAUAAGAUAUCAUCAUAUGAAAGUGUUUCCAGUUCUCCAGUCCAGUCAGUUAGAGACACAAAGUCUUAUAUAGGAUCUAAAUUUACAGGGGUCAGUAAGGUUUGAUGACAGAGCUUUAAAAUCCGGAGUUAGGGGAAGAAGCCAGGUACGAGAAGUCUUAACGACGAAAAAGGUAGUGUUCGGCAAUUCUCAGCAGUGGUAGCAGAUUAUGAUCCGUGGACGUUGGAAAGAUUUUUUUCUGUUUCAUUUAGGGCUAGUUUAUCAGAUCUAUGGACCGAAAAAGUACUGUAUGUGGUAUCUUGACAGUUAGCACAGGAAUUUUUAAGUUCUUUACAUGGCCUUAGAUAAAUUCUGCAUGAAUAUUUUCUGUUAGUUUUGAUACAAUAUUGAAUUCAAAAGACUGGACACAGCUGUAAUAGUUGAGCAAGUAGCAUAGGAACGAGCACCAAUUUCAGCGCAAAAACUCACACUAUCACUACCCUCAAGACAAGAAUCCAUGUUUUUUGGAUCUACUACUGUAUCCUAUCAACACUGGGAGUUGCAGUACAAGAUAAAGAAGG